rnacentral:misc_RNA from 1 species
GUCUAAAUUUAGAUCCAUAUCCCUAUAUUUUCUGUCUAGAAAGUUCACAAAGUCUGACACAUGGAAAAGUACACAUUUCAACAUCCAUGCCUGAGUCCAAGUAACAUAUUUAUUGCUUUUUCUUAAGUUUAAUAAUUUAGGAUGAAUGAUAUCUAGUACAUUUAAUGUGUUUUAUAUGUGUGCACAAGUAAACAAAAGGAUACUUAUAAUUUUAUGUCUGGCCCCAAAAAAAUUACUAUCUAGCUCCUUCACUACAUGUAUCAUUAGUAACUCGACUUCAAAAUUUUAUAACAUUUUAGGCAUCUUGGCUAUUUUCUUUCAAAUUCCAAUUUUAUUCGACCUUUUAGAGUGGUAUGGUAAUAUUUAU